rnacentral:lncRNA from 1 species
UCCCUCAGCCUCCUGAGCCUCUGGGAUUACAGGCGUGCACCAGGGCACCCAUUUCCUUAAGUUAAAUUUGUUUGGUAUUUUGGUCACAGUGAUGAAGAGCUGAUGAAUACAACUGACCUUCAACUUCCUGCUGUGGUCCUCCUCCCAGGCUCCAGGAAAGAACCUAGUGCCCACAGUAUCUUCUUUUAAAUUUAUGUAUCAACUGGGUUUGUCACUUGCUAGUAAAGAAUCCUUGAGAACAGGGUCUCAUGAGAUUUUACAGAGUGAUGCCACCUCAAAUAACUCAUUACUCUUCUGAGGCUUCCUGAUAUCUGCAAAUGGGUCCAUUGAGCAGGGAGAGUCACAGGAACCAGCUCACAAGGCUGCACUUCAGAUAGGUGUUGGUGGUGCAUACCAGAGCCACCCUCCCAGGGACUAGGCAGGUAUGUUCUUUCUGUGAGUAGGUACAAGUGAAGCUGCAACAGCACUAGAAGCUUACUCUGUUAUUCAGCUUCCCGUUAUUAUAACAAAAUACUGAGGAUAACCAAUUUAUAAGGAGGAAAUGUUUAUUUUGGCUCAAGGUUUCAGUCCGUGGUAGUUAUAUAACUACCAUGGUAGGAGUGUGUGGUGGAGGAAUUGCUCACUUCAAGGCAACUGGGAAGCAAAAAGAGCAAGAGGAGGA